rnacentral:rRNA from 1 species
UGGGGAAUAUUGGACAAUGGGCGAAAGCCUGAUCCAGCCAUGCCGCGUGGGUGAAGACGGCCCUAGGGUUGUAAAGCCCUUUCGGCGGGGACGAUGAUGACGGUACCCGCAGAAGAAGCCCCGGCUAACUUCGUGCCAGCAGCCGCGGUAAUACGAAGGGGGCUAGCGUUGCUCGGAAUUACUGGGCGUAAAGGGCGCGUAGGCGGCCAUAUCAGUCAGGUGUGAAACCCCCGGGCUCAACCUGGGAACUGCACUUGAGACGGUAUGGCUUGAGGUCGAGAGAGGACGGUGGAACUCCCAGUGUAGAGGUGAAAUUCGUAGAUAUUGGGAAGAACACCGGUGGCGAAGGCGGCCAUCUGGCUCGAUCCUGACGCUGAGGCGCGAAAGCGUGGGGAGCAAACA